rnacentral:rRNA from 1 species
UCAGUAACACGUAGUCAACAUGCCCAGGGGACGUGGAUAACCUCGGGAAACUGAGGAUAAACCGCGAUAAGUCACUACUUCUGGAAUGGGUAAUGACUUAAAUCUAUAUGGCCCCUGGAUUGGACUGCGGCCGAUCAGGCUGUUGGUGAGGUAAUGGCCCACCAAACCUGUAACCGGUACGGGCUCUGAGAGGAGGAGCCCGGAGAUGGGCACUGAGACAAGGGCCCAGGCCCUAUGGGGCGCAGCAGGCGCGAAACCUCUGCAAUAGGCGAAAGCCUGACAGGGUUACUCUGAGUGAUUUCCGUUAAGGAGAUCUUUUGGCACCUCUAAAAAUGGUGCAGAAUAAGGGGUGGGCAAGUCUGGUGCCAGCC